rnacentral:snRNA from 1 species
GCAUGCACGCACGCACACGCAAGCGCAACUGGAACAACACACAGGAUUAGCAUGGCCCCUGCACAAGGAUAACACACAAAUCCACGAAGCGUUACAUGCUUUU